rnacentral:rRNA from 1 species
CGGUUGAUCCUGCCGGACCCCACUGCUAUCGGGGUGGGACUAAGACAUGCAAGUCGUACGCCUCCCAGCCGCCGGGGGAGGCGUGGCGCACGGCUCCGUAACACGUGGCUAACCUGCCCUUGGGACGGGGAUAACCCCGGGAAACUGGGGCUAAUCCCCGAUAGAUGAGAGCACCUGGAAUGGGCUUUCAUCUAAAGGGGGAUAGUAGAAUGAUACUAUCUCCGCCCGAGGAUGGGGCUGCGUCCUAUCAGGUAGUUGGCGGGGUAACGGCCCGCCAAGCCUAUAACGGGUAGGGGCUGUGAGAGCAGGAGCCCCGAGAUGGGCACUGAGACAAGGGCCCAGGCCCUACGGGGUGCAGCAGGCGCGAAACCUCCGCAAUACGGGAAACCGUGACGGGGUCAUCCCGAGUGCUACCCGCAGAGGGUAGCUUUUCCCUGGUCUAAAAAGCCAGGGGAAUAAGCGGGGGGCAAGACUGGUGUCAGCCGCCGCGGUAAUACCAGCCCCGCGAGUGAUCGGGACGAUUAUUGGGCCUAAAGCAUCCGUAGCCGGCCCAACAAGUCUUCUCUGAAAUCCUACGGCUCAACCGUAGGGCUGGAGAAGAUACUGUUGGGCUAGGGGGUGGGAGAGGCC